UCCAUGAGAAGGCCUUUAGCCCUCUGCGGAAGCUGCAGAAACUCUACAUCUCCAAGAACCACCUGGUGGAGAUUCCUCCCAACCUGCCCAGCUCCCUGGUAGAGCUACGAAUCCAUGACAACCGUAUCCGCAAAGUGCCCAAGGGCGUGUUCAGUGGGCUCCGGAACAUGAACUGCAUUGAGAUGGGUGGGAAUCCCCUGGAGAACAGUGGCUUUGAACCCGGAGCCUUUGAUGGCCUGAAGCUCAACUACCUGCGCAUCUCAGAGGCCAAGCUCACUGGCAUCCCCAAAGAUCUCCCUGAGACCCUGAAUGAACUUCACUUGGACCACAACAAAAUCCAGGCUAUCGAGUUGGAGGAUCUACUUCGCUACUCCAAGCUGUACAGGCUGGGCUUAGGACACAAUCAGAUCCGAAUGAUUGAGAAUGGGAGCCUGAGUUUUCUGCCUACCCUGAGGGAACUUCACUUGGACAACAACAAGCUGUCCCGGGUGCCUGCUGGCCUCCCAGAUCUCAAACUCCUCCAGGUUGUCUAUCUGCACUCCAACAACAUCACCAAGGUGGGCAUCAACGAUUUCUGCCCCAUGGGCUUUGGAGUCAAGAGGGCCUACUAUAAUGGCAUCAGCCUCUUCAACAACCCUGUGCCCUACUGGGAAGUGCAGCCUGCCACCUUCCGCUGCGUCACUGACCGCCUGGCCAUCCAAUUUGGAAAUUAUAAGAAGUAGAAGCAGUGGUAGCCACCAUGGUGGCCUUGGUGAGAGUCUCUGAGGAACAUAGCCAGUUGUUCCACAGGGGAAGGGGAAGCAAAGAAGCAACACCUUUGUUCCCCAAUAUUAACUCACUGCCCACCACAGCUUCCUCUGGCUCCUAAGCAUGCACAUAUGCACAUGGCCUGGCCUCUCCCAUUCCCCUCAGCCUUUGAGAUUUAACACUCACCCACCAUGUCCACUCAGAGACUCCCUAUAAAUCUUUUUUCUUGCUCAUCCUGAAACUCAGAUGUUUGUGGGAAGAAUGGACAGAGCACAUGGCCACAGUUACUGUUCCAUCCGGGCAUGUAUUCCUCCUCUUCCUUACCCGACUUCUAGCUCUC
rnacentral:lncRNA from 1 species